rnacentral:rRNA from 1 species
UACGAAGGGUGCAAGCGUUGUUCGGAUUUAUUGGGCGUAAAGCGCGCGCAGGCGGAUCGGCAAGUCAGAUGUGAAAUCUCGGGGCUCAACCCCGAAACUGCGUCUGAAACUACUGAUCUGGAAUAUUGGAGAGGGAGGGGGAAUUUCGCAUGUAGGGGUAAAAUCCGUAGAUAUGCGAAGGAACACCGGUGGCGAAGGCGCCCUCCUGGCCGAUUAUUGACGCUGAGGCGCGAAAGCGUGGGGAGCAAACAGG